GCCCUUAUAGCUCAGUGGUAGAGCGCAUCACUCGUACCAUCGCUGUUGUGAUAUGAUGAGGUCCGCUGUUCGAUCCAGCGUGGGGGCA
rnacentral:tRNA from 2 species